GGGAUAAUAGUAUAGUGGUCAGUACUUCUCGUUGUGGUCAAAAGUCACAGCGAUCCGAGAGGACCCAGGUUCGAUUCCUGGUUAUCCCA